rnacentral:rRNA from 1 species
UACAGAGGGGGCAAGCGUUGUUCGGAAUUACUGGGCGUAAAGGGUUCGUAGGUGGCCCGCUAAGUCAGACGUGAAAUCCCUCGGCUUAACCGGGGAACUGCGUCUGAUACUGGAUGGCUUGAGUUCGGGAGAGGGAUGCGGAAUUCCUGGUGUAGCGGUGAAAUGCGCAGAUAUCAGGAGGAACACCAGCGGCGAAGGCGGCGCUCUGGGCCGGUACUGACGCUGAGGAGCGAAAGCGUGGGUAGCAAACAGG